rnacentral:rRNA from 1 species
GAUGAACGCUGGCGGCGUGCCUAAUACAUGCAAGUCGAGCGAACAGAUAAGGAGCUUGCUCCUUUGACGUUAGCGGCGGACGGGUGAGUAACACGUGGAUAACCUACCUAUAAGACUGGGAUAACUUCGGGAAACCGGAGCUAAUACCGGAUAACAUAUUGAACCGCAUGGUUCAAUAGUGAAAGGCGGCUUUGCUGUCACUUAUAGAUGGAUCCGCGCCGUAUUAGCUAAUUGGUAAGGUAACGGCUUACCAAGGCAACGAUACGUAGCCGACCUGAGAGGGUGAUCGGCCACACUGGAACUGAGACACGGUCCAGACUCCUACGGGAGGCAGCAGUAGGGAAUCUUCCGCAAUGGGCGAAAGCCUGACGGAGCAACGCCGCGUGAGUGAUGAAGGUCUUCGGAUCGUAAAACUCUGUUAUCAGGGAAGAACAAAUGUGUAAGUAACUGUGCACAUCUUGACGGUACCUGAUCAGAAAGCCACGGCUAACUACGUG